GUUUUCCUUUGCAGAAAUAAUCUUUGGUAUUUCUGCUGUUGUUGUUGUUGUUUUUUUCUUGAUUGGGAUUGGGAUCUACUGCUGUAGGAAAAGGAAAUCUGGUAAGUGUGAUCUAAAAACUGGACGGUCAUCAUCAGAAACUGGAGAUAUACCAGAAAAUGUACCAGGGGAGUCAAUCCGUAUGAAGAAGAAUGACGACGUGGAAGAAAAUACACAAGAACUACUUAGCCAGACAAAUGGGUCAUCAGACAUUAAUAAUGGGACUGUUGCUGAAUUACCAAAUAGCAUGUGCAGUGAAGCUACCUUCCAGACUGACGGGAUAUCAUGCAGUGGGAACAGAACUGAUGCCACAGGAGAGAACGGUGAUGUGACCCCAGACCUCACUUCUCCGCAAGACAGUAAGACACCCAUCGUAUCAGCCACAUCAUAGCCCUUCAGAUCACUAUUGCUCCACUAAACAUGAUAAGAAAGCUAAAGAGGAAGUGCCAAAGCCUGAGACCUCUGAGGUGGUCGUGGAGAAUGGGGAAACCCCAGAUGAUGCCAACUCAUCCUUCUUGUAUCAGAAGGUUAUCUAGGUGCUUUCCAAAGAUCAUGCUGGUCUUUUCAACUCUCCAACAUUCAACAUUAUCACAUUCAGAGACAAUACAGGAACAACUAUUGAAGGAUUUUAUUUAUUAGCCGAACCUGAGACUAGAUGGUAGCCUGUUACAAUUGUCUCCCCCAAAGAGUACAAUACGCUGGUCGCAACAGUAUUUUUGGCUGCUCUGUUUUCAGUUAUUUAUAGUGUUAUAAGGGUCAGUCUUUCAGUCAAAUCAGAAUAUAUGCUGAUGAAGUUAUCCUAAUACUAACACAGUACUGACUGGCGUUUAGAAACUGUAUCUGUUGGUACUAGCAGCUGCUCUUCAAGCUGGCUUGAACAGUUGCGUGACUAUGCUAACAAGCUGUCAUUCAACUGGUCAUCAGUUUGUGAAGACUUUGUGAAGGAAAAAUGAAUCCCACACUGGACACUGUUGUAGAAGAAUUUCUUUCACUUUGUGUGUAAAGACAAAACGUGGUUAUUUGUUCUGCUGCUGUUCUGCCAUUGUUGUUCUUGUCAGUAUUCUUGGACUGUAAUACCUCUAUUGUCCAUAUGGGGCCCUCAGUGUUCCCGUUUGCCAGUCACAUGUUUGUGUCUUGUCAUUAUGUUCACCUGAGCCUUGUUUGCCUGCCCAUAUAAGCCUCCUGAUGUUCUAUGGCUGUGCUAAGUAUUGAUUUGACACCAUGUGGGCACGUUGCGUGAGUUUGAGCGCGUGAGUCUUUUACUGGGAACGUUAUUAACUGUUCAAAGACUUAUUCCGGAGAACCUUGUUACCUGUUUUGAGUCAUUUUUUUUUUUUAGUGAUGGUGAAAUUAAGCUUCAUGAAACCUUGAGGCUUUCCAGCCAGGCGUGUUGACAAGUGGCAAGGCCUGCUAUAAGAACAUGGAUACACAAAAGUAUGGUAAAAAAAAUGAAUAAUUUUAUUUAGGUAGUUAUGGUCAAUGUGCUUCCAUAAUUUCAAAUUUCGUUGUAUGCGAAUACGAUGACAAUAAAGGCUUUUCUAUUCUUUCUUGUAAUAAAUGUAUGACAAUGAAAUUGAGAAUUGUAUGGCUGAAAUGAUCUUUACCACGGUAAAAGCAAUAGCCUACAUGACUGUAAAAGGAGCUUGUUAUCGUUCAUCAAACUAUAACUUUAUACGUACUGAAACUUUAACAUACACGGUAGGUCUACCACAACAUAUAUUAACCUGUAGCUAAAUAACAUUUUGACUAUGAACUUUAAUUUAAUCCUGUAAACACUUGAUAUUAACUUAUAGGUCUACAUGUUAGACUAAUAACACGUCUGCUCCACACGGUCAGUCUACUACAACAUUUAUUAGCUUGUAGCUAAAUAACAUUUUAACUACGAAAUGUAUUUUAAUCCUGUAAACACUUCUCGCUCAGUAUUCGUUCGUGCAAUUGGCUGUCAACAGU